GCGCGCGUCGCCUAGCGGACAAUGGCAUCUGCCUUAGAAGCAGACGGUUAGUCCUUUCGUUGGUUCGAAUCCAACCGCGCGCA
rnacentral:tRNA from 1 species